CUUACACUUUUGGCAAUGCGUUUGCAUGCAUACGGCCGAUACGCACAGGUCCAAGAAUGGGGGGUCGUCAUGUAAUUUACACCCGAAUACCAACCCCGCAAAAUCGAACUCUAAUUAAGCUUGAACUUGUAUGACGUCGCUGCUGGUGCGGGGAAGUUAAUGGAGGAAGUAGUAGGAUAGCCGUGGCAAAAACAAAAAAAAAAAACACUAGAAUUAGAAAAAACUGAUCUACGGGCUUUCUUAACUAAUCACACUCUGAUAGGAUCGCUAUCGCUCCAAGCACGGUCCAAGUUAAGUUUGUUUUGUAUGGACG
rnacentral:sRNA from 1 species